rnacentral:rRNA from 1 species
CAGCAGCCGCCGCGGUAAUACGAAGGGGGCUAGCGUUGUUCGGAAUUACUGGGCGUAAAGCGCACGUAGGCGGAUUGUUAGGUCGGGGGUGAAAUCCUGAGGCUCAACCUCAGAACUGCCUUCGAUACUGGCGAUCUUGAGUUCGGAAGAGGUUGGUGGAACAGCUAGUGUAGAGGUGAAAUUCGUAGAUAUUAGCUAGAACACCAGUGGCGAAGGCGGCCAACUGGUCCGACACUGACGCUGAGGUGCGAAAGCGUGGGGAGCAAACAGGAUUAGAUACCCCCGUAGUCCCUGUCUCUUAUAC